GGAUAGCUCAGAUGGUUAGAGCGCAGUGCUGGUAAUGCCAAGGUUACAGGUUCAAUCCCUGUAUGGAACCA